CCUCUUCCCAUCUCGAACAGAGAAGUUAAGCCCGCCUGCGCAGAUGGUACUGCAUUUAUGUGGGAGAGUAUGUCGUCGCCUUUC
rnacentral:rRNA from 1 species